GUGUAUAUGGUGUAAUCAACACAUUAGCUUUUCAUGCUAAAAUCAUAUUCUAUAUUAUACACA
rnacentral:tRNA from 1 species